rnacentral:lncRNA from 10 species
GAGGCAGGAGAAUCGCUUGAACCUGGGAGGCAGAGGUUGCAGUGAACUGAGAUCAUGUCUCUGCACUCCAGCCUGGGUGACAGAGUGAGACUCCAUCUCAAAACAAACAAACAAACAACAACAACAAAACAGAAGCAGGCAAGAUAGGAAUGGAUUUUCCUCAGCACCUCUUUAUUCAUUUCAACCCAAACAUUUCAGAAGCACCUACUCAGUGCUGGGCCUGCCCACAGCUGAGCAGGGAAUAUGGUCCCCUCAAUAACCUCUGUUGUUGGCUGGGGUAACCCAAGGAGACCCUUCAGGUAGGGGCUGAAGGCAGCAGGAGGUUCUUUUUGUUUGUUUGUUGUUUCUGUUUUUUCAGACAGGGUCUCACUCUGUCACCCACACUGGAGUGCAGUGCCGCAAUUACUGCUCACUGCAGCCUCCACCUCCCUGGGCUCAGGUGAUCCUCUCCCCUCAGCCUCCUGAAUAGCUGGGAACACAGGUGUGCACCACCACGUCCGGCUAAUUUUUUUUUUUUUUUUUUGUAGAGAUAGGAUUUCACCAUGUUGCCCAGGCUGGUCUCGAACUCCUGGGCUCAAGCGAUCUGCCCACCUAGGCCUCCCAAAGUACUGGGAUUACAGGCGUGAACCACUGCCCGGCUGAGAAGGAGGUUCUUCCGCGAGAGAAGGCUAUGCAGAGGGGAGGAUCUCAGGCCUGAAGGGUCUAGAAGCCCACUGGAAGGUCUUCCAGACACUUGGGACAUCUAGCUCCUGAAGAGUAGAAAGAGGAGCUGCUGCCGAAGAGGUAAGACAGAGAGAGGGGCACAGGAUGUGGAGUCCGCCCCUCUGUCCUCAGGGAGUUUCUUUGGAGAGAGAAGAGAAUGAGGCUGGGCUCAGAGGAAGUUCCUCCCACUCCGUGGAGCUCAAACUAGUCCAGUGGUGGCAGCUGCCCUGGCUGGAAUAAAGCAUCGACCCACAGUGGCCUCACAUCUCUGAGGCCUUUGCAGGUUAAGAGUCUCCUGCCAUGAUACCCCACCACAGUGGAACCCGUUGUUGGGCCAGCGUGUUCUCAGGGACUGGGACACGGGCCAAAUACUACAGCCACCAAGGCCAUAGCCUGUGCUCUCUCUGAGCCGAGGGAAGAACACCCUCUCCGGCCCUGUAGUUCCAUUUUUGUUUCUUUGUUUCGUUUCCUCUGCUGUCUUCUCCAGAGCUCUGCGCUGCAGCUGAGAGACUGGGUAUCUCCUAGAGAUUCCUGACCCCCACGCACCAGCCCCACCACCAGAGGGCGCCCGAGCACAGAGACGCCGCAACCGGAGCAGGAGCCCUAAACCUGUCAGGGUGGGUCAGCCCUGGAGUAAUCCUGGAGGGAGGGUCUGGGAGAGGGCCCCAGUGUGGGGACCUGCCCGGCUCAACCAAAUGUAGUUUGUUACCUUGGUGGCCAUCUGCAGCCAGGUGGCCCUGCCACACUGCUAAACCAGAGGAUUUAGGAAGCAGACAGGGAUUCGGGAAGUGGCUGAAGAGCACUGGAAAGACAAACUCCUGCGGUGCAAGAGUCCUGGACCAGGAGUGCGGAGAACUGGGGGCGCUCCUCUCCCUGUUACCCUAGGCUUGUUUUCUCAUAUGUAAACAAAGGCAGGGGCGGGGAGAAGGGAAGGACUCGAUGGUACCCAGGUGCCCUUCAGGCUCUAACCAAAGACAUGCCCCACCCUCCUGGAGGAACCCUGCGGAGCGCAGAGAACGGCUGGAGACAUAGCGGCCGCGGUUUUCCCCGCAGCGCAGGAGCGCCAGGCACUGCGCUGGGUCAACUGCGGUCAGGGAGUCACCUGCCCGCGACAGCGAGCGCGCACCCACACUCUCGACCAACCCAGGCUGGCCUCCAGCCCACUCUCGGGUCCCAACGCCCAAACAUCUCGCAUUGCUGGCUCCGACAUCUCCCCACCCGCCGCCAGGAAUCAGCGCAGAGGGAGAUGCGUCUUCUGUGGCGGGUGCGGGGCGAGGACCCUGACCCCAGCUCUGGGAAGUGAACUGUACGGAGGAGAGAGCUCUCCAUCGUCAGCUCUGCCUCCGCCCCUCCUGCGGCUUCACUUCAGCCCGGAUGCCGGCGAUGGGGAAUAGACCAGGGACGCAGGAGCACACUGGACCGGGGGUGGAUCCACUUGGGGAGGCAGGCAACCGACCCGCGCACCGGUGGCGCAACCUCGUUCCGGUGACCGAAUCUUGGGAGCCUGGACCCCGAAGGUGCAAAAAGUCAAGAGCCUGGAAAACUGCACUGUGCAAAUAUAUUGACUUUAUUUGUCUCCUUUCAGGAGCCUCACAGACAUAUCCAGGUAAAAAGAUCGUUAAAUAAAUGCCUUCAGCCAUCGCAAUGCAAAAAUAAA